GACGAACGCUGGCGGCGUGCUUAACACAUGCAAGUCGAACGGAAAGGCCCUGCUCUUGUGGGGUGCUCGAGUGGCGAACGGGUGAGUAUCACGUGUGUAACCUGUCCUUGACUUUGUGAUAACUUCAGGAAACUGCGGCUAUUACCGGAUAGGAUCUCCUGCUGCAUGGUGGGGGAUGGAAAGAUUCGGCGGUUGGGGAUGGUCUCGCGGCUUAUCAGCCUGUUGGGCGGGUAGUUGCUUACCAAGGCUUUGACGGGUAGCCGGCCUGAGAGGGUUGCCGGCGACAAUGGGACUGAGGUACGGCCCAGACGGCUACGGGAGGCAGCAGUGGGAAGUAUUGCGCAAUGAGCGGAAGCCUGAGGCAGCGGCGCCGCGUGCGGAAUGAUGUCCUUCGAGUGAUAAACAAAUGUGGCCGGAGACGAGGCGUGAGUGACGGUAAUGGGUAAGAAAGCACCGGCUAACUACGUG
rnacentral:rRNA from 1 species